ensembl:lncRNA
UAUAUCCCUCUAUUUGUGGGGUUACAUACCAAUAAUUUAUCAUAAAUUAAAAUAUGUAAGUCAAAAAAUGCAUAUAGAUAGCUAGCUCACUGAACACAGUAGCUUAGCAAUACAGCAUACUGUAGAGUGUCAUUUUUUUCCUCUUGUGAUCACAUGGUUGACUGGAAACUAUGACUUGCUACAUCAUCCGUUUAGCAUCGAGAAGAGGAUUGGAAGAUAUGUUGCUAGCCCAAGCAAAGGUCCAAAUUCAAAGUCUGAACCACAGUUUCUGCUUAAUAUGUGUGGACUUGAUGGUGGUAAAGCCCAAUCUGUAAGUAAAAUCCUAAGUUAGUUCUGGGCAUAAGCCCACAAUUGUAGAGAUAGAACCUCUUGGUUCUCUUCAUAAAAUGAGUGUUAAUACCACAAGUGCAAGAGCUUACCCAAGCUGGGGUACUAGAAGCUGAUGGGACCUCUUAUCUUACACUCCAAAGUUUGAUGUGUGCCUCUUUUCUUAUUCAUCAUCACAGAAGGAUUCUAUCUGCAGUCCUAUGUGACUAAACUUCCCUGGCUGAGUCAGCUAGCUGCUCUCAGAAACACUCUGUGUUCUCUUACACUGUUUAACUGUUACUGGGGAGUUGUCUGUCUACUUACCCAGGGCCCACAUGUUCCAUACUCUUUGGAUUUCAUUGUUGAGUUAAAAUAUUUGAGUUCUUCAUAGUAAGAUGUGAGAAAGCCAGGUCAACUGGAAUCUCUCAUGUGGUACCCUCCACGCCUGCCUCCAGUUUGCUGGAUGCUCUCUAGGGAGUCUGAUGCCAUGAGAGAGCCAUGAUAUGGAAGUAGCCUGUGUCUCUGGAUUGUCUUGGUAUGAAAUCUUCACGUCUUCUAGAAAAGCCAUUAUUGGGCUGGUCAGUGAAUAAUAACUGCUCCUGCUGAGUUACUCCACUGUCACUUUACAGUUUGCUUAUGGUUCCACAGUACUUUCAUCCCAACAAAGAACAGCUGCAGAAAGCUGAUAGGAUUCUGUUUCCACCUGACAUUAGAAACAAUGCCCACAUCUACCAAAUGCCACAAACUACAUGGUAGUAAGUGCAUAUCAUGUCCAACCUGCUGAGGCUUAGUUCCUCUCAUACUGCUGCUUAGAAACACAGAAAAAGAAACAGGAAAAUUCCUCUAUUUCCCCACACAUAGGAAGUAUGCUAUUGCGAGUGAGGUCAUGGUUCUUAGAGGAGAAGCUACUCUCCUCGACUUUCCUGAACCAGUGCAAUCCUCCCCACAUUCUAAAUAUUUAUCCUUACUCCCAUAGGCUAAGUAUGGCUCUCACACCUCAUCAAAGAGGCCUCUUUUGCAGCAGACAAGACAGAGACCAGAACAGAAAACCAUGACUGGUCAAAUGCAAAGAAAAAGUGACUGUGGAGGGGAGUGCUUGGGUCCACUUGAUGCAUCUACCACACAACCUCUUCAUCAUGGAGGGGACCACACAGAGGAGAGGAUGGAAACACUGAAAGAGCCAGAGGACCUCAGCUGUAAGACUGUCUUCUAGAAAUGAUGGGAAGACCACACUCCAACAAUACGGCUGAAUAAGACCUGAACAAAGACAUCAGUUGACAUGCCAACGUGGAUAGGGGGAAUCUCACAGGGCCCCACCCCUAGAUGAAGAGCUACAGGCAAUUAAUGACUACAGAGAGCAGAAGAAUUCGUUUUCCCCAGGAAUGAGCUCCCUAAAUGCUUACACAAUACAAAGUGGUCAGCCCUAAAAACAGAUCAUACAAGUAACACUGAACAGACUCAGCGGGGUACCAAAUCACAUACAUGUAAUAAUAGAAGAAAAAGAGGCCAUGAACGUGAGAGGGAGUCACGAGGGGAAUGAUAGUGGAUGGAGAGGGGGAGCUUGGGAAAAUGAUGUAAUUAUAUUCUAUUAAAAAUACAAUAAGAAAGCUGGGUGGUGGUGCACACCUUUAAUCCCAGCACUCAGGAGAGGCAGAGGCAGGCGGAUCUCUGUGAGUUCGAGGCCAGCCUGGUCUACAGAGCAACUGCCAGGACAGGUUACAAAGCUACAGAGAGAAAACCUGUCUAGACCCCCCACAAAAAAUAACUGAAAUAAGCUUUCAAAAAGAAAAGGAAAGAUUACACUAUCAGUAGACCUGGAGAGAAGGGGAUGAGGAGGGCCAUUUUGAACAUAUCCUUAAGGGCUUCAAAUCUCUUAGUUUGUAACCAAGUCUUCAGUUUGCUGUAGCUUCAAUAAACUGUGUGAGGCAAAGUAUGAAUAGGAAUAUUUCUUGGUGAUUCUGGACAGACCUGCUAGUUUUCUUGUGAGAAUAUGCAAGUUGAAAAACAGAAUAUGCUGAGUGUUAAAAACUUUUACUUUUUUACUUUUAUUAAAAUAGAUUUUUUCUCAUAUAACAUAUACUUAUUGCAAUUCAACUAUGUUCAUAGCAGCAUUAUUUGUAAUAGCCAGAACCUGGAAGCAACCUAAAUGUCCCUCAAUGAAGAAUGGAUAAAGAAAAUGUGGUGCAUUUACACAAUGGAGUACUACUCAGCAGGAAAAAAAAAAAAACACAAUGGAAUCUUGAAAUUCGCAGGCAAAUGGAUAGAACUAGAAGAAACCAUCCUGAGUGAGGUAACCUGGUCACAAAAGGAGUACAUACUCAUAUAUAAAUAUUAGACAUAGAACAAAGGAUUACCAGCCUAUAAUCCACACCACCAGAGAAGCUAGGAAGCAAGGAGGACCCUAAGAGAGACAUACAUGGUCCCCCAGAGAAGGGGGAAAGGACAAGAUCUCCUGAGCAAAUUGAGAGCACGAGGCAGGGGAGGGGGAGGGAAUUAAGAGAAGGAGAAGGGGAGAAGAGGAGGGAAGAGGAUAUGAAGGACAGGGAGAUUGAGUCAGAGGAAAAAAUACAGGAGAGCAAGAAAAGAGGUACUAUAAUAGAGGGAGCCAUUAUAGGUCUAAAGAGAAUCUAAGCAAUAGUCAAGAGGCUACUUAAAUGCCCUUCCCCUAUAAUGAGAUUGAUGACUACCUUAUAUGCCAUUCUAGAGUUUUCAUGCAGUAGCUGAUGGAAGAAACAGACACCCAUAGCUAAACACUGAGCUGAACUCAUGGAAUCCAGGUGCAGAGAGGGAGGAGUGAUGAGCAAAGAUGUCAAGACCAGGCUGGAGAAACCCACAGAAACAGCUGACCUGAACAAGGGGGAGCCCAUGGACCCCAAACUGAUAGCUGGGAAACCAACAUAGGACCAACCCAGACCCCCUGAAAGUGGGUGUCAGUUAGGAGAACAGGGCAGUCUAUGGCACCUCUAGUAAUGGAUCAGUAUUUAUCCCUAGUGUACAAAUGGACUUUGGGAGCCCAUUCCAUAUAGAGGGAUACUCUCUCAGUUUAGACACUCCGGGGGAGGGCCUAGGCCCGGCUUCAAAUGAUGUGACAGACUUUAAAGUUCCCCAUGGAAGGCCUCACCCUCCCUGGGAAGAAGAAAGGGGAUAGGAUAGGGGGUCAGUGGGGGGCAGGGGAGGAGAGGAGGGAGAGGGACCUGGGAUUGACAUGUAAAAAAAGAUUCUUUAAAUUAAAAAAAUGUAUAAAAAAUAAAAUCACAGGUGAAAAGUUAAAAAAAAUUGUACAAUGAAAAUUUGGUAUCCCUAAAAAAGAGAAGGAAAGGGAAGAAUUAAAAUAUGAUCAAAAAUAAAAAUCAGAUUGUUUUCUCAAGUAAUAUAUACUGAUUAGAGUUCCCCCUCCUUCUGUUCCUCCCAGCUCCUCUUCCAUCCUGAUUCACUCCCUUUCUGAAUCUCAUAAGAAAAGAACAGGCUUCUAAGAGACAAUAAUCAAAUAUAACAAAAUAAAAUAUAGUAAGAUAAAACAAAACUAUCACAUCGAAUUUGUAUAAGACAAACCAAUAGAAGGAAAAGAGGUCGGGAAGGCAGAAGAAUCACACCCACUUGUUCACACACUCAGGAGUCCCAUAAAAACACUAGACUGGAAGCUAUGCUAUAUAUGCAAAUGGCCUGGAGCAGACCUGUUCUGGCCCUGUGCACGGUGCUUCAGUCUGUGAGCUCGUGUGAGCUUUGCCCAUGGUGAUUUAGAGGGUCUUGUUUUCUUAGUGUCCUUCAUUCUCUCUGGCUCUUACACUCUUUUAAUCUCUUCAUCCGCAGGACUCCCUGAGCUCUAAGCGGAGAGAUUUGAUGGAGACAACCCAUUUGGGAUUGAGUGUUCCAAGGUUUCUCACUCUCUUCAUAUUGUCUGAUUGUGGAUCUCUGUGUUGUUCCCAUCUUCUGCAGGAAGAAGCUUCUCUGAUGAUGGCUAAACAAAGCACUGAUGUAUAAGUAUAACAGAAUUUCAUUAGGAGUCAUUUUGUCACUACAUUUUUGUUGUUGUUGUUGUUGUUGUUGUAGUUGUUGUUGUUGUUGUUGUUUUCGAGGUAGGGUUUCUCUGUGUAGCUUUGGAGCCUAUCCUGGCACUCACUCUGGAGACCAGGCUGACCUUGAACUCACAGCGAUCCCCCUGCCUCUGCCUCCCGAGUGCAGGGAUUAAAGGUGUGCGUCACCAACACCCAGCUUGUCAUUACAUUUUUUGUUGUUUGUUUUUUAGAGCAGUAGUAUUUGGUUUUACCCUAGGUCCCUGGGCUGGCCAGUCCCUGAUUCAUGGUCACCCAAGCAGGGCCAGGUACGGGUCCCAUCUCGUAGAAUGGCCCUUAAGUAAAAUCAAUUAUUGGUUGGUCAGUCCCACAAGCUUUGUGCCACCAUUGGCCUAGCAUAUCUUGCAGGCAGAACACCAUUGUAAAUCAAAGAAAGGGUUUAUGGCUGGCUUGGCAUUUGCAUUUCUCUUUUGGUAGCGUGAAGAGUACCUUCCAAUACCGAAGACACUAGGGCGUAGGGGUGAAGGCUCUACGUGGACACCAGCUUGACAUCUCCGUGUUAAAUGAGUUGUGUGGGUGUUGUCUUCAGCAACAGGGCCUUGCUGUCAGUUUGUGGGGAACAAGCUAUUGUCUUGGCAACAGCCUUGGUUGUUUGGAGAUUCCCAUGGGACUCCUGUAGCCCAAUCCCAGUACCGGAAGCUUCAUUGGGUGACUCUGUCUCCCUCCUCAUUUAGAUCACCUCCUUCAUAUAAGUACAUAUUUCAGGAGGUUUCUGCUGUAUUAGGCUUCCAUUCUAAACCUCAAAUGGCCCAUGAUUUUGGCUGUCUCUCUCCAUAUUCCCUCAAUCCUCUUCCUCCUCCUCACUUGAUGCCCCCAUUCCAAACCCCCAUCCAUCCAUCCAUUCAUAAUUAUAGAGCAGAUAACAGAAAACUUUUACUUGUAAAGGUCAAAGGUAAAUUGCCAAGCAGAGUGUGGGAAUGAGCAUCGCCCCCGCAUUUCUGAAUAAUUUCACAGACUGAUACCCAAUUUAAAAGGAAUUUACCAUAUAACUGACAACAAAUGGCCUGGAAAGAAAAGAGGGCCAGAGCUUCCCAGUGAAGAGGGAAGAACCAGGUGGCCUCUCCUUCUGUGCCACCCAAGGGUCUUAGGUUUUCUCGGUGUAAAUGGUUGCAUUCUAAGCUUCAUUGCCAUUUAUUUAUUCUUUCAUCCAUGUAAUAAGUGUUCAUAGUGCCUGAGGUACAAGCAAAGUCAGAGUCUUAGAUAUAAAAUAAUGAGGGUAAAGGCAUUGCCCUACCGGGCCAAGUAUCCUACUCUCUCUAAAUAAACAGUUGUGACCUAAGAAAAAACGCAGUCAAAGUGUGAAAGCCGGUUGUUUGCAACUUAAAAUACAUUUACAUUAAAAAUAACACUAUUGAAUUGGCUGGAAUGUAAAGUAUUUUUAAUCCAUGUUGCACCUAAAACUGAAAACGGAUUUUCCACUUAUGUCUUGUUGUUUUAUAUCUUACUAUCUUACUGAAGUCCACAAAAGAUUAAACUAUGGCUUUUCAGGCUGGAGUAAUCUGUCUUCUGGCUGUAUUUAUUUAUUUUGAUUUUUAAAUCGCCUUCAUUUAUUUAUUUAUUUUUAAAAGAGUUUCUUACUUUCUAACCCAGGCUGGCCUAAUCACUCUGAAGUCCCAGCUGGCUUCAAAUUCAUGACAGUCCUCCUACCUCAUGGUCCCAAGUGAUGGGAUUUUAAGUUUCCAUGUUCACCUCACUCACCAUUUAAGUAAGAUAAAUAUGUGUCUUUAGGUGCCUUUAAGGUCAAGUGUCUGAAGUCCUGUGUCCUCCCAGCUGGCUCAGUGAAGAUGGCAGUGAACAACUGUGUCCUUGAGGCUUCCAGCAGAUGGCUCACUUCAGAAGGUCUGGAGAAGCUUUACUAAGGGACUAUGUAUGACUGUGUUGAUGAAGCCGCAAGAAUCAACAAGGGAUCAACUUGCAGGCUGACAACAGUGGGAAGCUGUUGUCACCUCAGUGUCUGAAAGGCUGAAAGGAUGCGGUAACCACAUUCGUACAAACACAAUAUAAACACAUGCACACGUAUGAGUGUGCAAGUGUGUCUGUGUAUGUCAGACGCAUUGGUAUUUCUUUUGUGUUUCUCCAACUUGUCCUCUGUCCUUGACAUUCGUUCUUCUGCCUGGCUAUAUCACUGGUGAUGUUUUCUAUUUUGUGUUCCAUUUCUAUUGUUUUUCCAAACUCAAAUGCUGUUGCUGUAACUGUCUUCUCUCUUGUUAACAUUUUCUUCCAUUUUGCUGACAUCCUCCCCCUUGCCAUGUUGCUGACUUUCUUCACCAGGGUCUGGAAUGAAAUGAUCCUUCUGUGUCCUCUUUGAGGUCAUCUAUUAUUUUUACUAGUAAGCCUUUGAACUCUUCGUCUGGGGUUUUACUUAUGUUGAAUUCAGUAGUGCUAGAGUUUUGCUUGCUUGCAGGACUCACCCUGCCUUGCCUUUUCAGAGCUUGUGUGUUUCUGUGAUGCAAUGUGCAGAUCUGCUGUUUGAAUGUCUCUUCUGGUUUUAUUUGGGGAUCUUUUAUUUAGCAACCUAUUCUUGAGGCUUCAUUGCCAAGUACCACUUAGUGAGGAGGAAACAAAUGCUGUAACAGCAGGCCCUUCAAACCACAGAAGAUGUAGAAAUCCACUCAGAAUUGAUUAAAGCUACCAAUGGCCAUAAACUAGACACUGGGAAACUAGUGCAGAAUGUGGCAUGAAAUUAAAAAUUAUGUCGAGUAAAUGUGGAAAUAAAAAAAAAGAGUAAUGGAAUGGAGAACCAUGCUAGGGGAAAAGAACGAUGAGAGAUUAGAAAAGAUAUUUUUAAAAUUAAAAAUAGAUUUCUCAGUAAUAAUAAAGUCCCAAAGCAAAAUUCAAUAAACAUAAAAAGGGAAAUUAAAAAAACAAAGAAAUUGUUUUUUGUGAGCAACAAAUUUAUAAAUUCAUUCCAAUAAGAUAAAUCAAAAUACCACCAAGCACGUGGGAGAAAUAGAGAAGGACAGAAGGGGACAACCCAGAGGCAAAAAUAAAGAAAAUAAAUAAAUAAAAAUUACUCAAUAAUGAAAGGUGAAAAUAAAAUUAGGAGGAUGUAUGAAAGUGAAAUAAAAAUUAAAACAUGAUUUUUAAACAAGAUAUACUAAAAUGCGCUGCUAAAAUUUUCUAAGGGUGGGUAAGCAUAAGAGGUAAACAUAAAUGAAACUCUGGAGAAGGUUCUUUCUUAGCACAAAAAAGCAUAAACCUUCAAUAUACGCAUUGGAGUGUAGCAGGUGGCAGUUCAACCUCCCGGCUUUCAUAAACUUUCCUAUGGCUUAACUGGUGUUGACCUUGUGCGGGACCUGUGUGUGGCAUCCAUCUGAGCUUUACUUCAGUCAUCUCCCUUCUUUUCAUAUCAGGGGCCUCUGCUGGCUAAGUUUAGCUGGGUAGCUGGGCAUGUUUAUCCUCCUGCAUCUCCCUGAUGGUACACACGGGGAUGGCUAAUCCCUACCUGGGGCUGGGUGUUUUACAAGUGCCUUGGUAGCAUGGGAAGUAGUCAUAGCACUGAGUUGUCUGCAGGUGGCAAGCCUGUCUUCUUUCUUUCAAGAUGGACGUAUUUGCCAUCUUGCUGACAGAUACAGCCACAGGGGUCAAGUUGGCAAUUAGGGAUGCAGAGUUUACAACCUCCACAGCAGUGAUGGCAAAUGUGUGGAUUCAGAGGUGGGUUUCUUCCUCCAUCAUCUCUCAGAGCAGUCAGACUCCAGGGUAUGUCUCUGUUGAUGAGAUCUGCACCAGCAACUGAGCAUGUCACUGCCUAAGCAGAAACUUGCCACCUCUGCCUUUUGACUUGUCAGCAUCUGCUCCCCACCCCUGCUUCCCCCCCCAAACAAAAACCUCCCUGUGCUAUCCCUCACCCUGGGGCUGCAGCAGGAUAAAUUCAGGUUCCCUGUCUUGAGAUUGUUUCCCAAGUAGCUCACUUCCAGACAACAGGUUCUCUCUAAAGAUGGUCCCCAGAUGGUGCUCUCCAUAUCCGAUGGGGUGACUAAUGGUUUCCUGUGCACUGCAGACCUCACCCAAGGUCCCCUGGAGGAAUAAGCCUCUUAUCAAAACUUGAAACUGGUUUGAGGUUUCUGAGAUCUGUAAGAUGGCCCCUGGGCUAAGAUUGCCUAUCCCUUAUCACCAGGGGUACCUGCUUGCUUUUGGGAGGUGUCCCCUGUAACCUGUUUUCCUGUUGAGGAACCACACAGCUGUACUGUCAUCCAUCCCAGUUUCUUUUCUAUGUAUGGAUCAUCUUUUUCUAUCUAGCAGAGUCUAUCACUGCUUUUGUGAAUUUCUGAAUCAGUCUCUCUGUCUCCCGCCUCUGUCUCUGUUCCCCCCACUCCUGUGUGUGUGUGGUAUGUGCACAUGCAUGCACAUGUGUAACAGACUAUUUUUCUGUUCUGAACCUCCUCCUCUCCCCUAUCUUCUGAAGGCCUGCCUCUACUCUCGGGCUUACCCAGAAGUCACUAACUGAAAUGUUAACCUCACUAAGGAAAGCACACAUGCUGGGAGCCUGUGAUGAGUGGUUGAAAUUGAAUCUAAGUAAACACAUAAAAUUAGCCAAGCCUCAUGUAACCCAAGUGGUGGAACUUGGUGAAGAAUCUGUAGUUAAGAGUUAAAAGCUGUACAUUGUGAUUGAGAUCUACAAUCACAGCGCUAGUGAGGUAGAGACAGGAGGACCACUGUAAGUCUAAGGCUAGCCUGGGCUACAGAGCUACAGGUAUACCCAGUGAGAGUAUCUGAAAAAAAAUAAGGUAGAAUAUAAGCCAUUUACCGUGGUGCAAACCACUUGGGAAGCUGAGGCAGAGGGAUUCCUAUUAGUUUGAAGGCUACAGAACUAGACUAGGAUACAGGGGGAGACCAUGUGUUUAGUAGGGCGAGAUAGAGAUUCAGGGACUGUUAGAACCACUUGGGGCAAGCAAGUAGAGGAGAAAAUCAAUAAACACUCUCCUUCAUCCUUCACCUCUGCACUCUUUGACCACCUCCUGGCCUUGCCUGCCAUUGACCUAACAUAACCUUAGUUUGAUUGACACGGAUGCAGAAUGGUGUUCUCACUGAACAAAAAGGAGUUAACUUCCUAGGGUUUGAACAGGUGUGUAAAAGAGAAAAAUGUACUGGAGAAAGGACAAUGAAGGCAUCUUAUGGCAAUUCCCUGAGAUUUGCUGGAAAAAUACUUAGGAAGUAUUUUUGGGGAAAAUCUGUCACUUAGGGCCAUUGAGGAGUGAGGAGGGGAAAGGUCACUUUAGUCUUAGCAUUAAACAACAUUAAGCACUGUUCCACUUCAUAAAGACUUGGGACAUGUCAGAUGCAUGUGGAUACCUUGUUAGAGAUGAGUAAUUCUGAAGAAUAUAUAUCGUCUUACAGGUCAGGGGAGCAUGGGCAUGGUAGAUGCUGCCUAAGUAUUUGCUGGAAAACCAUUUCAAUCUCUUUCCUUUGAACCCAGUAGGAAUGGAUAAAAUGAAAUAUAAAAAAUAAAAAAUGUCUCAUAGGGGUCAAGUAGAAUCAUACAAGGAGAUUUUUAGCAUAGCAGGUAAAGGAUGUAACUAAAAGCUUAUUCAUUCAACAAAUAGCUGUGAGGUCUACAUUUUGACACUGCGCUAAGAGACUCUUAAAAUGAAAGUUAUCUUUUCAUUACUUUUUAGGGGAAAUAUGUUACACAUAGGAAGCAUAACUACUCAGUUUUAUGGCAUCCAACCAGCCAGCUAACACACAACUGGAAAUAAUAGAGAAAGACAUAGCCUUAUAUAGCCCAGGCUAGGAAAGAACUCACUAUACAUUCAAAGAUCUUGAACCCCUGAUCUCCCUCCUUCUAUAUCCCAAGUGCUGGGAUUAUAGGUGUGAGGCACCAAGUCCAAUAGCGUAUAAAGAUCUGAGUCAGUUAUAUCAAUCAUGUAUUUCUAUAACCCAUUAUAUAAAGAUGCCCUUGAUUUUGUGACUGGUACACCCCACUAAUGUAGAACACACUCCUUGGUGAAAUGUGACCUUUCAAGCCAUGCAGCCUGUUAAGCUGAGUGCCACAACUCAUUCUCAGAACCACUGAGCACAGGGCUCGGUGUGCAGCGAAACUUUAGAUGGAAGCUUCCAGAAAAGCAGCAAACUACAGGGCACUUAUAUGGUGAUAUCUUUCUUGCACAAAUAAAGCCUGUCUGGGGAUCAGAGAAUGAAGCUUGCCAAUAGCUAACCAUAGAGGUUUGUAGGUCUGUACAGACAAACAGGAAGAAAGGUAGCUGGGGAGAAACAGGAUAUAAGCAGAGAGAAACAGGAAAUCAUUCUCCUCUUCUCUGUUAAGAUGCUUAGGAGGUAAGGUGUGCUGUGGAGUGUUCCUUCUCUCUGAUCUCUCAGCAUUUCCCUCUAUAUCUGACUCUGGCCUUUUAUUAUCUGGACCAAUUAAGAACUCCUUUUACACACUUAAGACUUUUCUUCAGCAGUGUUACAUGUCUGUAUGCCUUUAGUGGAAACAUUGUUCAUAUAUGCAGACAAUGUCCCAGCCCUCCUAAUGCCUUCUGCCAACUUUUCUUCUGUACUUUGUCUUUCCAUCAUCAAACUGGCUAUUGACUUGAGUUGGAUUAUUUUAAAGAACAAACACAGCAGCCUUUUGUCUUUUGACUUUUCUAGAACCCUACAUUGCCUACUCUACAAUGCAAGGAAAAGUGGAUCUAGGCUCCUGCUGUUUGUGUCAAACAGUUCUUUUAUGUUGCUCCAUUAUAAAUGUUCCCUAUACAUUUUGAGUCAAAACUGUGAAAUAUCCAUUCUUGCCCUGACAUUUUCCAUUAUAUAACCAGAUUUAAGAUGUGAAUAAUCUUCUAAGUGACCUUGGUUAGAAAAUUAUUUUUCAAAGCCAGGGUGAAAGGCAAGUGUGUGAUUUCCUCACAGAGGAUAUGCCAGUAGUUAAACAUGUACUUUUUAAGAUCAGCUUUAUUUGGUCUCAAAAUUGUAAUGAGAUGAAAUAUAUAUUUUCCAAAACUAAACUUUAUGUCCCAUCCAUCAUAGGCUCUGAGAUAUAGUAGAAUCAUUUGGCCAAUGUCAACCAAAGAUUUGUAUGAGUUGAGUCAAUGUGGGUAAGAAAUUUGUUGAUUUUGAGUAUAUAGUCACCAGCAAUAUUUUAAAAUUAACUUGCUGAUCUCAUUAAAUGAAUUUCUGGUUUAAAAAUUAAAAUAAUAGUGAUAAAGGCUUUUUCUUAUCUACUUUUAAGAUCUGUUGACUUGAAUAGCAUUGGUUUUGUUUUAUAUACAUUUAUUCAUAAAUUGGCAAGUUAUUAGCUUUUGAAUUGGCAAAUAUAUUUGUUUCUCAUCCCAUGAGCAGCCAACAUAUAGUAAGUAACUUUGAAAAAUGCUUCAUAAACAUUUGUGGAUUUGAAUUGAAUACUUCUUGAAAUGAUGUUAAUAGAACUAAAACUAAGGAAUAAAAGAUAAACUUGGAAAAGUAAAUCUGAGUAAACCUCUCAGAGAGGAUCAUAAAGAGCAUAAAUGAAACAUGAUUCUAAUUAGUCUUAUCAAUAAAGGAGUCAGAUAUCGGGGUAAAGACUUGAAAGAUCAAAGAACCAGGAGGAAACACCAGUUGCUUUCUACCUGUCUGAAUCCUCCAUUCAAAAACAGCCAAGAUCCUGUCUAUACUCCAACUUACCAUUACCUGUCUCCACCACCUGAGUGCUGGGAUUAAAGGCAGGAGUGUGCCACCACUGCCCAGCCUUUAUGGUUAACUAGUAGCUAACUCCAUCCUCUAAUCUCCAAGCAAGCUUUAUUUGUCAGAAAACAAAACAUCACACAACAUUAAUAUAUAAAUAAAGAAAAAAACCACAUUUAAAGAGAGUAAAAACAUUCUAAUAAUAAAGGGAAAAAAGAAAUGGGAUGCAUUGCCAAUCAAAUGUACAAGAAAAAUGCUAAAUAUCAAAGAAUAUGCAUUUGUAGGCUAAAAUGACUCCAGGGUGUGGGGACACACAUCAAAUCAAAUUACUUUGAAAUUUCAGAAUUUGAAUAGGGAGUGAAAUUCUAGAGAGAUAAGGGUUUUGAAGACUGAUGGUGUCUGUACUCAUAUGUGUUAUGCCUAUGUCAUGAAUCGUCCCAGAGAUCACCAGGAGUCUGAGUCUGUAUGCAUAAGCAAAGAGCCUUUAUUGCAAGCUCAAGCUUGGCCCCUCUGUCUUCUCUGACACAGCAGUUGGAUUAUGGAGACCUGAGCUCAGUUAUGGCAGGGUUUUUAAGGAGUAAAGGAAGCAGGGUAGGGGAAUUCUAGGUUCAGAUGGGGGUUGAACUCCUGAUUAGGCAGAGUGGGGCAACAGAAGUAUUGUGAAACAGGGAUUGGUGCAGGUGUUGCUGCAAGAAGAUUGGCAACCUAUAUACAAGUUAGGUAAGCUUUUCUUAAUGUUCUGGAACAUCUAGUACUUGUUUGUCUCAAUCCUGAUUGCCCCCUCCCCCUGCAGUGUACAGUUUGUGGUUUUUUCCUGGUUAUUGUAAGGGUGAUGUCUGGUCCCAAUACCGUUAGUCUGCAGCCUGUCAUAGCUGCACUAAUGUUAAGUUAGGCCUCUUCAACUCACUCAGGCUUGGUUUUAAAGGUAAAAUUAAAAGCUAUAAUACAACAGGAUGAUAGCUAAUAGGUUUGAAGAGGGAUUGGUUCAACCCAGAAUUCCAGAGAAUGAAGCUAUUACUGAUCAAGUGGCAAAAGAACUAAAGACAGUUAAGAUUAUAUAAAUUCUCAAGUUCUACUUUUGAGUAUUUGCUAUAAUAGUGCAACAAGAAGAUAUGCUUGCUCCAGGCAAGAAAGGAAACCAGUGUAGAAGAGUUCAGUCAUCCAGGCCAGGACUGCAGUAGGCUCUAGGCCAAGAAGGUCACUACAUAACAAUAAAGAUAGUAUCAGUAUCAUAGUGUAGAGACAAUCCCAGAUGGAAGAGAAGUUGAUGAUGCCAGUGUCAAAGUGUAGAGACAACCCCAGAUGGAAGUAGAGCAAUAGGCUUAAGAGGCCUGGAGUUUAGAUCCAACCAGGAAGAAAGGGAGUUUCAAGAGCAAUAGCUCCAAGAAAUAAAACAAUGGAUUGGUUGCAAUUCAUUAUAGUUUAUUAAUGCAAAGAUUUAUUUUAUGGUUUAUGUAGGAGUGUUAAGGGGUAAAAUGUGGUGCCACUAUUAUAAAAUAUAUUGAUGAAAUUCUCAAAAAAUAAAACCAUUUAAGAAAGUAAUUAAAGCAACUAUAAACUUUAAUAGAAACAAAAAAGUUACUCAAAAGAAUAAGUGUCAAAUUCUAUUUGAGCAAUUUUAGCAUAAUCAUGUGCCUGUGUUUCCUCUUUUUUGUAUUGUAGCAAAAUAUCAGAGACUGAGUAAUUUAUCAUAAUGUAAGUUUCUUAACCUCACCAGGCAGUAGUGGCACAGGCCUUUAAUACCAGCACUUAAGAGGCAGAGGCAAGUGGAUCUCUGUGAGUUUGAGGCCAGACUGGUCUACAGAGUGAGUUCCAGGACAGGCUUCAAAGAUACAGAGAAACUCUGUCUCAAAAAUAAAAAAAAUUUAUUAACCUCAAGGUUCUAAAUAACAGGAAAUUCAAAGUCGAGGGCUUGACUCUGGUGAGAAUACUCUGAGUGUGCGGAGUCUGGCAGAGGCAAACUGGCUUUUACUAUAGAUCUGAUUUCAUGAAAAUCAAUAGCCAUGAAAUUAUUUAUUUACGAAGAUGAAGAUGAUGACCUCAUGUUUUAAAUUCUCCAACUGGCCUCAUCUUUAGUAUUUCACAAGGAGGACCAAAUAUCAUGGUAUCAAAGCACAAAUCCUGAAGAUGAUGGAGAAGGGAGCAUUGCAUGUAUGUGUCUAUAAGACACAGGGUUAAGAGAGCCAACUGCUACCUUCUCAAGAGAAAGGACAGAAUAGUUAAACAAAAUCAUGAAAAGCAUUGUGAGCCUAUUCCUUAAAAGUACUCUAGUAAAAUCAGCAGUCCAUUGCCUUAACCACUCAGCUACCUCGUCCCAACUCUAGUAAAAUCAAGACAUUGAAUGUGCUCAUUUACCCACGUGGGCAGAAUUCUCAGGAGGGUAGUUGUAGAACUGGGCUAAAAUGAAAAUCACAACCUGGUUCCUUCAGAUUCAUGCAUCUAUUUUACAUAAUGUAUAUUGUGUUUGAACAAGUCACUAAAAUGUGCCACCUAAAACUGAAUAUUUAAAACGCAUGUUUGAAUUAUGCCAACAGGCCAAUCUCAAAACUUAUUAUUUGCAACUUUUCACAUUUGUUUUAAAAAAUAAUUCAGAAUGUUUAAACAUUAAAAGUUAUAUGAAACAUUAACUUAAAAAUUACAUAAACCCUACUAAUUUAGGAACAUAACAUUGUCAAUUAAAAUACAAAAAUGGAGCUAAACUUGGCAUUUAGCAUUCAUUUGUGCUCAACUUACCCAGAGAAAGGACAAAUUAUUUUUUUUAACUUGGGGAAAAGAAGAACAAAAAUUAAAGUAAGGAGUUAAACUCUUCUUGGCAUUAAAUUCUCAGAAGUAUUUAAGGCUUAUAUUAUUAUAAUAGAAACACUUAUCUCCCAAAUUUCAUAUGAACCCAGAGGUCUAAGCUAAUCCUUUUUACCUCUUAGAGUUUUCUUGUCAUCCCACACAUGCCAUCACUGUCUUUGUCCAAGGUCUUGUCAUUUUUUUACUUAAGGAUUUACUAAUUUUAGAUGUAUUUAUGUAUACUUGCAUUAGUUUAUGUGUACUAUGUAUGUGCAGGUGACCAAGGAAGCCAGAGGCUGUUGAAUCCCCUGAAGCUGGAGUUCAGGUUGGCUGUGAUCUGCCCAGUCUGGGUGCUGGGAACCAAACCUGGGUCUUCUGCAAGAGCAGUCAGGGCUCUUAACCACCAAGUCAUCUUUCCAGUUACAGGUCUUGUCACCUUUAGCUUGGGUUAAUUUUAGAUUGAUCUAUGACCAACAAAUUGCAUUCUAUUUAGCUGUUCGGGAAAUACUUCAAGACAUUAAAAAAAUCAAUGAAAAGAAGGGUAAAACUUUAGAUCAAGACCACAAGAAGGCAAAAAUGCAGAGACACAGGGAAGUAAACGUAACAGCAAAACACACUUCAUCUCUAGAGUCUUUGCUGAUCUACAAAAAAUUGUUGGGAGCUUUGCUUUGCGGAAGCUGCUCAGAGGAUCACCAUAGACAUAAAAUUAACUCUGGAGUGAAGUAACACAUGUUCAGGGGAGACAGGUGAAGCUGGAGUGUCUGCAUUCUUGAGCUUCUUCAAGAGAAGUGUGUUCAUUAUGUAACAUUUGACCUUUGUAUACAGUAAGGUCUUACUGUGAUUUCUAGGGAAAUAAUUAAAACCAUAGGAACUAAUCUAGUAAAAAGGAGUAUUAAAGUGGAGACAUUGAUCAAUCAAAAUGUAAUAGGGAAGAGAAAAUAUAGCAUAGAAGAGUUGAGACAAACAGGAAGGACAUAAUCCAAACAUAAACUUCAACACAAACCCCAGUCCAUGAAUAGUAACACUACAUGUAAAAGGCCUAGAGAUUUCUAUAAAGAAAACAAGUUGUCAAGAGGGGUAUGGAAGAAAGGAAUACAAUGAUGAACAAGCAUUGGUCUGUCAGCAAGAAAAAAAGUGUAUGUUUAGGAAUGGGGAACAAACUGUUAUUUGUUCACAAAUGUCAUAAUUAAUUUUACAUGCAAAAAGACCUGUGGAUAAUUAUUGGAUUUAUAAAUUAGAUUAAGAAAGCAACUGUAUUUAGCUAAACAGGCUAUGAACAAAUAAUGAAAUUUUAAAUAACAUGACCCAUUAUGAUGUCAGGAGAAUGUUAUAUUUGGAUUUAGAAAUGUGUUUUAAAAUACAUUAAAAAAUUUAAAAUUUUAUUCUUAAAUAGAGUUUUAAAAUCUGAAAUUUUUACACGGAUGAUGUAGUUAUAUAUUAUAAAAUGUCGGUUUCCAAGGUGGAGAGAUGUCUCAAUUGCUAAGAACAGGUACUGUUCUUGCAGAGGACCUAGGUUCAGUUUCCGGCACCAUGUCAGGCUGCUACUAAAUCAUCUGUAACUCUAGACCCAGGGGAAUCUGUGAGCAUCUACAGGCAUGUGCUAUCAUACACACACACACACACACACACACCUAAAAUAAGUCUUAGAAAACAUCAAUUUUCUUCAAAAUGAUCUAGAAAACAAUCACAAUGCCAGCUAAAAAUCUGAAAACUGGGCUGGCAAGGAGGAAAUAGUGAUUCCUGUACAAGUCUCCUGACCUGAGUUUGAUGUCCAGAGACCACAUAGAUGGAAGGAGAGAAGUGAUAAAGAGUUGUUCUCUGAAUUCUACACACACUGUGGCAUGUAUACAUCCACUGUUCUGGAUAAUUUCAUAUCAGCUCGAACUCCAUUGAGAAAGCCUCCGUAAGAUUGGGCUGUAGGGCAUUUCAUCAAAUAACUGAUGCAGGAGGGCCCAGCCCAUUGCAGGUGGUGUUAUACCUGGCCUGGUGGUCCUAGGUUCUAUAAAAAAGCAAACUGGGCAAGCGAUGAGGAGCAAGCCAGUAAAGAGGACCACUCCAUGCCCUCUGAAUUGGCUCCUGCCUCCAGGUUCCAGCCCUGCUUGUGUUCCUGUCCUGACUUCCUUCAGUGACGGACUAUGACGUGGAAGUGAAAGUACAAGCCAAAUAAACCCUUUCCUCCCCAACUUGCUUUAAGUCAUGGUGUUUCAUCAGAGCAAUAGUAACCCUAAGACAUCCACAAUGUUCAUCAUCACCACCACCAUCAUCAUCAUAGUUUUAAAAGUUUAGACUUUUCCCACUCUCUUCUGCUAUCUUUUUCAGGGAAAAAAUAAGCUAACUUUAUAUAGACACGACAGAGGUCAAGAAAAAUGAAUCUUUUGGAGAAGAAAGUAUUGAGAAUCCUGUUUCUACCAAAUAUCUUAGUGUAAGAAACUGUUAAGUAAUCCCUGUGAUGCUAUGCUAGAGCAAUGGAUCAAACACAGAACUAGAAACAAUAAAUAUAAGGACACUCAGGCUGUUAGAAAUGGCUGGGGGGGCGGGCAGUGAGGAAGGACGAGCAUCUAAAAAGCUGCCCUGACACCCUGCUAAACUAUACAGAACUGGGCCGAUUUUACAGUUUGCACAGAAACCAACAGCAGGUGAAUUUCAGAUCUAAAGAGAAAAGGCAAAUGACACUGGAAGUGGUUUGGAGAGCUUGGCUCACAUUUUUCUAUAUAAUGGAGAAAGUAAAAUAUACCUAAAUAAGCUUACCUAUUGCCAUUGAUUUUUGUUAACUGUGGCUACUGUACAAUUAAGAAUGGCAUAUGCUGCUUGCAUUUUUUUCAAAUCAAUUCCUUUUUCUUUGAGAACAGGAGUCAUAUAAAUUAUUCCUCUGUGUUUAGUACAAUGUUAGGCAUGUAGUGGGUGAUACAGAUUAUUUCAUAAAUCAAGCAAGACAAUGACUAUUAAGAUUACUAUUGAUCAAUCUGUAUCACUCAAAAUAAUAAGAGGUUUGAAGUUUAUUUCUCACUAAAAAAAUAGUUCAAAGAUAAGAAAAUUGAGGGUUACUAGUAGCUCCCUAAUUUUUUGGAGAAUAGAGGCCCUCCUAGUUUUCUAUAUUUCACUUUGGGUCUUCAAAUGUGAUUAUCACAUAAUUAAUUACAAGCAAUGUCAAAACAGCCCACAGGUGAGUGUGUAUUUACCUUGAUUGUGACUCAUCUUUGCAUAAGACCUUCUGCAAGAGGCUCAUAGAGAUCCCUUGUUUUUGAAAUAUUUACAUUUAAGCAAAAAAACAUUUAACUUAGGUACCUAAAGGAAUAAGGAGUUAGUUUGUAUUAUAAUUUCUCCUUCAAAUAUCAGAUGUUGUAAGUUAGCUUUUGCCAAGUGCUAGAUGGGAGGCGGGCCUGCAGUCUCUGAGGAGUGCCUGAGAUGCCUAUAUUUUGUGUUGUUGAUUAAAGAGAAUGCCAUAUGCUUGCGAUAACAGGUGUGCAGGUGGCAAAGCUGACAUUCUGUUGUACAAAUUUAGUAUCCUGACUUGUAUGCUAGCCCAGAGAGGGCUAUUCUAUUUGUGCACAGCAGUCAAUAACUGAGUAUGUAUAAAAGCCAGUUUUUACUAAGAAAAAAAAGGAAAAAUAAAAAAAGAACCAACUUUGAGUUACUUCAACACCUUCAUGAAGAAACUGGUUCAAAACCUUGUCCCAAGAAUUUGUGGGAGUUUUAGAACAAUUUGAUGCAUCCUAUCAUAAAACAACCUAAGCAUAGUCAAAGUUGAAGAUUGAUUUUUAUAGAAAGGAUAUUCCUGAUGAGUAAGCUGAAAAUAUAUUCUAAGAUUUAGAAUAAGUCAGUCUGGGCCUAAAGAUUUGCUUGAGCCUGCCUGUAGUGACAAUAGUUUCUAUUAAUCAAUACUUACCAUCCAGAUAUUAAAUUUCAGUCAGACUAUUAAUUUUGAUGUAUGAUAUAAAUUACUGGAGUCAUUGGGUAAAGUACUUGCCAUACAAGCAUGAGAAUCUGAGUUCAAAUCCCCAGCACCCAUAUAAAACUGAAUGCUGUGAAGCUUGCCUAUAAUUCCAGUGUCCCUGUGGGAAGGUGGAAGUCAGCGAGCGAUUGGAGAAUCCAUUGAAGUUUGGUUCACCUAAUCUAGUGUACACACUAGGUUCAGAAAAAAUAGACCAUGUCUCAAAUAAGGUGGAAGGUGAGGACCAACAUCACAGGUUGUCCUCUGAUCUCCACGCAUUCAUCAUGUGUGCCACCCAAACACAAAAACAUGUAUAUACAUGUACAUAUACAUACACACGUCAUACAUACACAUCACACACACACACAGAAUAUAUAUAUAUUGCCAUUCUUUCCCUAACAGAUUCCUCCUGAAGUAUUAGUCCACCACAGAGCUUCUGGGAGAACUGUGUGACUAGAGUCCCUCAUCAAACACAACCACUAAAGGCCAAGGUAAAGCAUUUGGGAGUCCCUGAGAUAACACCUUGCAUUGCUUGCUUUACACUUUGCUACACAAUCCCGUGUCAUCGGCUGAGGUCCAUAUCUGUGAGGAACCAUUUCUGUGCUUCUCUUUGAAUCAAAUUUGUGAGCACUUCAACGUUCCUUCACUAGACCUGCACAAGGAGCAGAUUAAUUAAUGCCAUUUACUUGGAAAGGCAAGUAAUGAAACUGCUUUGAACUUCUUAAGAACAAAGCUGGUUUUUGCAUUUAUUCGAUUCCAGCAGGUUUGUGGUCAGUCCCACCUUGGCUGUCCAGUGGACUGUAAGUCUGAUGAGAGCAGAGACCAUGCUUGUUUUCUUUCUUAGAGACUACUGUAUGGGCUCAGUAACCAACUGUAAAUAUUAUUUUGAAUGAAGAAAUAAACCACGAAAAAUCUGGCUGCAAGCAGGUGGACCUUAUUAGUCAUCUUGUGAAUGCCCAACGACUUUUGUCUUUUGUCAUAUUGAGAAGAAAGCCAAUGUAGACCCCCGAAAGUUAAUAGAGUGUACUACUGACUGUUGCCUCACUGUGACUGAGACACCCAAAACAACUUAAAAGGAAGAAUUAUUAAUUUCAGUUCACAAUGCCCAGACCUUUUCAGUGACACGUGACAACUUACCAGUACAAUGUGUGUUACAAUAAGAUAUGACAAGGCAGGACCAGCCUGUUCCCUUCCAGGUGACUUGGACUCUGCCCUGGUUGAUGGGUUAAUACAUUCAUGUGAUUAAUGGAUUAAAGGGUUAGUAGGUUGAGAGAGAGCCUAAAGAAAAGCUGCUUUCUCAUGUUCUCCUCUUCUCUGUUGUCUUUACAGACUGUAUUUUGCCUCACACCUCUGUGAGCUAGAAGGUCAACAUCAGAUACAGUCUUUCCACCUUAGGUCAGCAUAAGCCCAAAUAAACCAGUUUUCUUUGUAACACUCCCAGGCUGUGGGAUUUCCUUAUCUGCCGUGGAACCGAGGCUGAGACAGAAUCUCUCCAGAUCAUGUCUUACUGCUGCAUAUGAACCCACAAUUAUCUCAAUAAAAUUGCAAAAAAAAGACAAAAAAAAUGACACAGAGAGAAAAUUGUGACAGCACUCAUCAAAACUGUCAAGAUCACUAAAUUGGGGACCACCCAGAUCUGAUGGGACUACAGUAGUUCUGACUUAUUUCUGGAAUUUUCUCAGCUUUCGAUGAUAGAGCAGAUGCUUACGAUGGAUUAUUUUUUUCCAGAGUCAAAACUGGGAUUCACAAAUGUUAAAAGAUUAUGAGAGAUUUAAAAAUAAAGAGAAGGGAUUCAUAAAUUGUCAAGAAAAUCUGGCAUUUCUAUUUUUAUUGAAAAUUUCCAGUAUUUAGUUAUCUGCUUAUUAUUUUAUGAUCAGAUCCUUUUAUUUUCUGUAAUUGAGUCACACUUGUUACCUUUUGGCAGGAAUCAUAUUGGAGGUGAUUACAACUUCCUCUCUCUUUCUUUUCAGCCUUGACAGUUAAAUGUUUUAUGUUUGGGGUCUAUAUAACUCAGGUGCUUUUAUUUUAAGCCAUGUCCAUUGUCCCUUACUUUAACCUAUUAAAACUCUACAAUAUAGGAUGGAUCAUUUACCCAAAGAGAGCAGCCCAUGUGGGUUCCACUUUUUUCACAGGUCUUGGUUACAGAUGGACAUCUUCAGAGCAAGGUUUGAGUCUUUGCUAUAUUGUUUUCUUACUUGGUAAUUUUUUCUUUUAUCUGUUUUGAAAGCCAGUACUGAGAACUGAACCUAAGUCCCUGGGUAUGCUAGCCAACCCCUGAGCUCCAACUUGGCCCCUUAGCUCAGAAUCUUAAGUAUCUAGUUUUGGGUAUAAUUAGAUGGUUCAGUUAUAAGAUGUCUUUUGUUGCACUGAGCUUUAGAUGGAUCUGUUGGAGCAUUCCUUUCAAUUUUAUUGCACAACAAAGUCAACGUUUCUGUGUAUUUGUGGUAUAUUUUAACACUGUCGAUGUGAACAUUUACGUUUUCUAUAUUUGCAGCAACAUUAUAGCUAUAAUUUUAUCUUUAAAUUUUAUUGCAUAUGCUUAUAGGGUAAAAUUGAUGCUUUAAUCACACACAUAUUGUAAGUUGAGUAAAUAAAAGCUACAAUUUAGGCCAGGCGUUGGUGGUGCACGCCUUUAAUCCCAGUACUCGGGAGGCAGAGGCAGGCAGAUCUCUGUGAGUUUGAGGCCAGCCUGGUCUCCAGAGUGAGUGCCAGGAUAGGCUCCAAAGAAAGACUGUCUCAAAAAACCAAAAAAAAGCUACAAUUUAAACUCUACAUUUUUACUUCAUAUUGUGCUUUAAAGAUAAUUUCAUUUUUGUGAUUCAUUUAUUCAUUCCAAUCAACAUUUAAAAUUAUUAGUAAGCGGCUGCUUCUGUGAUCAGGGUAAUUUUAAGGAGAUGAAUGAUAUUUAAAUAACUUUGAAAUAUUAAUUUCAAGGGCUGGCUGUGGUGGUAUAUGCCAUUGAUUAGUCCUUGGGAAGCAGAAGCAGGCAGAUCUCUGUUAAUAUGUCAGCCUAGUUUACAUAGUGAGUUCCAGGCCAGCCAAGUUUACACAUUAAUAAUACAUUGUAAUUGCCAAUAGAGAUUUCUCAAUAAUCAGUAAUGUUGCCCUUGAUUAGUGAUAUAAGUAAAAUUGGCACUAAAGUCAGCCAAAACUUCAUCAUGGAGUCAUCACGGUAUUCAGUCACCAAUAUAUACAGACAUUCAUUAUAAAAUGACCAAUAAGGAGGAACUACCACUAUUCUUAUUUUCUGCAGAUAAAAUUUUAACAGAACCAUUGCCAAGCCUGUCACUCAAUUUCCCUACAAGUGUUCAGUAAGCGAACAUAUGCUGAAAACUGUCGAAAGUGUUUCCACACAUAAAAGAGAAGUGUGUUCCCAUCAGUAGGUAGGCUUCCCGUAACAUGACAGACCAGCACGAUCCCAACAAGAUGCUGAGCAAUGAAAGAUGGUUAACUCUUGAUAGUAGAAUGAAUUCCCUCAUGUUACCUGGUAGCUGACCUUCUAACAAAGACAACAUUCCACAUAGCCAGAGCUCCUGUUUUCGCUAGGAUUCUCUUGCUGAGCAACUUGAACAUAAGACAAACCAAGCGUUUGAGAAAGAAGUGUUCUCUUGAGUACUGGGCUGCAUUAAAUGGGUGAUGUUAGAGUCUGAGAAACAUUGGAAGUCAGAAUAUGUUUGUCUUUGUGCUCUCUCUUGGCCUAGAUUACAGAAAAGACGGGUUGUUACCCUCACUGCAUGCUAUGUGCUUAGAUACUCAAUAGUGGUAAAUAAAAUAAAAUAAAGGUAAUUUUUCUCCACCAGGACUUGGCCUCAGAUGGCUUGCUAGUUGUUGACCAGUGACUGGUGAGACCUGAAUUACUCAGCCCACAGAUGCCUGUACAAAGGAAGUCACGGGUCUGUCAGAGCCAUGCGAGGGAUGACAGGCUUGCAAAGAGGUGCAGCAGAUGAGAUCUGGCUAUUUUCAGUGACUGCUGAGAGAGAGAUUGGCUGAGGGUUCUGGUGAUGCCUCUCAUGGCGGGAUGAGCAGAUGAACAAUUUGCCUCAGAAUUUCUACUGAUGAAAAUGUCAUCACGAAAAAGAUUUCACCUCACAGAGAGUCAUCUGUGGAAAAUCUUGGUUACAGCCACAGCCAUUUUGCUCUGUUCUUCAAGGUGGGAGAUAGCCUUUGGCUUGCUCUCAUCAGGACACCCAGAAGACUGUGACCUCUUCUUCAUCAUGUUGACUCAGUUUCCAUUCCUGGGAGAUGAGCUUAGCAUCUCUUGAAUGUGAAAUGGCAUCUCUUAGAGAGCUUCAGCAUGCUGGUUAUAUUCUUGUUUGUGUACCAUAAGAGUGGUCCCCAAGGCAAUGUCUGCCUCUGUCUUAAAGAUGCAAUGUUAUCCUAGCUAGAUUGUUUGUUUGUUUGCUUUGCACAGUGGUACAAGAAGGUAUACAAAUUAUUGUGUGAGACUUAAGGUCGAGGUUUAGAAAGAAGGGAUUGGAUUUUCAGGGUUUUGUUUUAAAGACUGGCAUUUGUUAGGUGGGUUCCAACAGAACGGUGAACUACAUUAAUUCCCUGGGACCAAUGACCACAUAGCCUGGUCAAAAUAGUCAGAAGAUGUACAUAAUAUCUAACACACUCUGGCUGUGAGUUCUCAUAUGCCUCUACAUCAAUCCAUACAUGAACAUACUGGAUACCAAAGAUGAUGAUGGCAGGAAUCACACAUACACACACACACACACACACACACACACUACACACUAUACAUAAUACAUUUUGAACCCUCUUAUUUACUUUCUUCAGGUAAGGGUAUAUAGGCCUGAGUUAUGAAAAAUGUUAAGUUUUUCAAGAGCUCAUCUGAGCAUCCAUUGCAACUGGGCUCUUGCUCACCUUUUGAGAUGGGGGUUGGGGGGAGCUAUAGCUCUUGUUUGCCUUGUGGGAAUUGGGGAGGAGCUAUGAUUUUUCUUUCCAGAAGCUUUGAUUUUAGCAGGAUUAGCAUUUCCUAAGGGGACUUAACUCCUUCUCUUAAAUUUUUAGGUUAAGCACUCUUAUUUAUUUACUUUGUGUGUGUGUGUGUGUGUGUGUGUGUGUGUGUGUGUGUGUGUGUGUGUGUGUAUGUGUGUGUAUGUAUGUAUUAGAAAGCUUGAUGGGGCUGACAAUGGUGUGUGCAGAGGUCAGAGGCCAACUUGUGGGAGUUAGUCCUAUUCUACCACAUUGGUACCAAGGAUCAAACUCCCAUCAUCAGGCUUGGCUGUAAGAACUUUUCCCUGAGCCCUCUCUCCAGGCCAGAGAGACUAGCUUUAUGGUUGGAGGAUCUUUUAAGUACGUUUUAAAUGACUGUUUGGAUCUGUCACAGCCAAACACAUCUCAAUUCACUAAUAACAGUAAAUGGUCCCAGAUACUAACAUCAACAAGUUCUAUCAACUUAAAACUAAAAAUUAAUCAGACAAACAAACGGCUCUCCAUGGUGCAGGUUUACAUGGUAGAGGGAAGUAUUUGGAUGAGAUUUGUAAUGGAAAUCUCCAAGGGCCUUGAUGAUUGAGUCCACGGGUAUGAUUAAACUGGAGACUGUUCAAACCUGCAAUGGAAAGGUAUGUCACAGCCUAAGGCUAGGCAGGGGCCUGGUCCCCUUGUCAGCUGUGCUUCCUCUUAAGACAGCUAUAGUCAAGAUUUGGAGCAAGCAACUGUGUGUUUUUCCCUUUUUUACUGAAGCCAUCUCCCUUACUUCCCUACUUCAUGGGUACAAAAGGGUCUUCUUUCUUAUUUGCUUUAUAUACACAAGGUUAAGAAGAAAAAUUGUUGAGCAAAUUUCCAAUAAAACAUCUAUUUUGUUAAGCCAUAUCCUUAAAAUCCUAAGAAGUUUUGCAUAACAAAUUUGUCUUUUCUAACUUUGAGAUGUGCUGAAUGUGAGUUAAGAGUGAGGCCAGUUUCUUCAACUUUGUUAGUGACUACACUGUUACAGUCAAACUGAAAUCAAUUUCAGACAUUUAAAAACAUUCUCAGUAGCCAGGCAAUGGUGGCACACGCCUUUAAUCCCAGUACUCAGGAGGCAGAGGCAGGAGGAUUUCUGUCAUUUCGAGGCUAGCCUGGUCUGUGAGGAGAGUUCCAGGAUAGCCAGGACUGUUAAACAGAGAAACCUGUCAAAAAAGAAAAAAAGAAAGAAAGGAAGGAAGGAAGGAAGGAGGGAAGGAAGGAAGGAAGGAAGAAAGAAAGGACAGAACCAACAUCCACAGAAAAUGCCGGUCUGAGAUUCCCAGAUCUUCACAAAACUAAAAUGAAGAUUUUCAUUGGUUUCUAAUCAUUAGGGCAUUAUGCCUUUGUUAUAAAAUAAUUGCAAUUUUAGAAAAAGUUAAGACUCAGUUUGAAUCUAUUUUCAGCAGAGUCAAAAGUAAUAAAGUCCUGAUGGAUAAGUAUACUAAAAGAAGCAUGAAACUUACUGAAAAACUAGGAAGCAUUGUUGGAAGAAACAAAAAAUGCCCUGCACUCCUGUCACUGUCAGGGUGGGCCUGUUCCCCAACUGACCUACAUAUGCAAUACAAACUCUGCCAGAGUAACAACUACCAUUUCUUAACCCCUAAAAUUCAUAUGGAAACUCAAAGGACCCACAGUAGCCAAAAUAACUCUAAGAAAAAAAGUACAAGCUUUGUUGAAAAAGACAAGAAUUAAGGCAUGAAGUGUCGACACGGGGCUGGACACAUCCCUCCUUGGGACAGGAUUGAGAAUCCAGAAUCAAACCUUCACAUUUAUGCUAAACUGACUUUCAAUGGGGACCCCAAGGCCACUCAACAGGGAAAGGACAGACUCAAGUCUGGUGCUUACUUUCUAGGACAGCACACAGGGUGGUUGGACCCUGUAUCACUCAUGUUUUUUACUCAAAACGAUCUACAGAACAAAAAAUAAGAACUAAAAGUUUUUAGAGAAAGCAGAGGCAUACAUUUUUGUUAUCUUAGAAUAGGCAAUCACUUUUUUAGAUGCAAUUCUCAAAUCACAUAAGGAGAACGGAAGGACGGGUGUCACUCGGUUGGUAGAAUAUUUGCCUCAUAUGAAUGAAGCCCUGGCUUCCACCCCUCAUUCCCCACAAAAGUGGACAUAGUGGUUCAUGCCUGUGAUCCUAGCACAUAGGAGCUGAGGGUAGGAGGAACAGAAUUCAAGGUCAUUCUCAGCCACAUAGUUCAAAGCCAGUCUGGGCGACAUGGACUCUAUUCAGUACGUGUGUGUGUGUGUGUGUGUGUGUGUGCGUGUGUGUGUGUGUGUGUAUUUGGAAUUAAUAAAAAUUAUAGAAAUUUGUGUUUCAAACAUACAAUCAAGAAAGUAAAAGGAAAUCACAAUUCACAGAACAGGGAAAAUAUUGCAGAAUAUAUAUAUAUAUAUAUAUAUAUAUAUAUAUAUGUGUGUGUGUGUGUGUGUAUGUAUGUAUGUAUGUAUGUAUGUAUGUAUGUAUGUAUGAUAAGGAAUGUGGGUCUAAAAUAUAUAAAAAGCUCUUACAACUCAGUAGUUAGAAGAGGCCAGAGGUCUGGGCAUUCCAGGCUACCCUUGAUCAUUAUAGAAAGUUGGAGGCCAACAUGAGAUCAAAGGCUGAAUGAGUUCCCACCUUAUAACCCAAAGCAAAAAAAAAAAAAAAAAUUAACAAAUCCUAGUACAUUGCUGGUGGUAUUGUAACAUGAUGUAAGCACCUGGGGAAAAUACUUGGACACUUUCUUCAACUCUUACACAGAGCUACUGUAUGAUCCUGCAACUCCACACCUGGGUGUAUAACUAAGAAAGAUGAAAGAAUAUGUCCAGAAAAAAAUCACAUACAUAAUUGUGGGGCUAAGGAGAUGGUCAGUAGUUAAGAACAUGUACUGCUCUUGCAGAGGACCUGGGUUCAAUCCUAGCACUGACAUCAGGCAAUUCACAACCCUCUGUAACUCCAGCAUGGGGGGGAUCUGAUACCUUCUAGCCUCCAAGAGCACCUGCACAGACACAGACAAAUAUACCUAAUCAAACACACAGACAACAAAUCAAUGAAAAAGAUAACCUACGUGUUUAGAGCAGGGUUAUGUAUAAUAGCCAGAAAGAAGAGAGGGGAGAGUGAGCAUCAACAGAUGGGAAGACAAGCUGUGUUAGGUCUUGUUCAUGGCCCACCAUUUCACAGGAAGAUCUGAGGCACUCUACAAAGUAAGCAACAGAGGCAAUCACCCUCACAAAUUAUGCUAAACAAAGGGAGCCCGUCACAAAGGUCAUAUGAUGGGGGAAGUACUUCUGUGUAUGUUUAUCUUAUUGUUUUUUAAUAAAAAGCUGUUUGGCCAAUGACUAGGACUUCUCAUCUGUUAGCUUAGUCUUAAUUAUCAUAAAUCUAUAUAUUUUAUAAGACUUAUCUUAUCGGAUGCCUUAUUGUCGUCCCUCCUUGCUGGUGGAUCACAUCGUGACGCUGGAGCAGGAGCAGAGGGGAAAGAGGGGCCCUUCC